GCCGGGUGCGGUGGCGCGCGCCUGUAAUCCAAGCUACUGGGAGGCUGAGGCUGGCGGAUCGUUUGAGCUCAGGAGCUCUGAGCUGCAGUGGACUAUGCCGAUCGGGUGUCCGCACUAAGUUCGGUAUCGAUAUGGUGCUCCUGAGGGAGCUCGGGACCACCAGGUCGCCUAAGGAGGGGUGCACCGGCCCAGGCCGGAAACGGAGCAGGUCAAAGCCCCCGUGCCGCUCAGUAGUGGGAUCGCGCCUGUGAAUAGACGCUGUAGUUCAGCCUGAGUAAUACAGCGGGACCCAGUCUUUU
rnacentral:SRP_RNA from 1 species